CGGCUCACCAAGGCAAUGAUACGUAGCCGAACUGAGAGGUUGAUCGGCCACAUUGGGACUGAGACACGGCCCAAACUCCUACGGGAGGCAGCAGUAGGGAAUCUUCCACAAUGGACGCAAGUCUGAUGGAGCAACGCCGCGUGAGUGAAGAAGGCUUUCGGGUCGUAAAACUCUGUUGUUGGAGAAGAAUGGUCGGCAGAGUAACUGUUGUCGGCGUGACGGUAUCCAACCAGAAAGCCACGGCUAACUACGUGCCAGCAGCCGCGGUAAUACGUAGGUGGCAAGCGUUAUCCGGAUUUAUUGGGCGUAAAGCGAGCGCAGGCGGUUUUUUAAGUCUGAUGUGAAAGCCCUCGGCUUAACCGAGGAAGUGCAUCGGAAACUGGGAAACUUGAGUGCAGAAGAGGACAGUGGAACUCCAUGUGUAGCGGUGAAAUGCGUAGAUAUAUGGAAGAACACCAGUGGCGAAGGCGGCUGUCUGGUCUGUAACUGACGCUGAGGCUCGAAAGCAUGGGUAGCGAACAGGAUUAGAUACCCUGGUAGUCCAUGCCGUAAACGAUGAAUGCUAGGUGUUGGAGGGUUUCCGCCCUUCAGUGCCGCAGCUAACGCAUUAAGCAUUCCGCCUGGGGAGUACGACCGCAAGGUUGAAACUCAAAGGAAUUGACGGGGGCCCGCACAAGCGGUGGAGCAUGUGGUUUAAUUCGAAGCAACGCGAAGAACCUUACCAGGUCUUGACAUCUUUUGAUCACCUGAGAGAUCAGGUUUCCCCUUCGGGGGCAAAAUGACAGG
rnacentral:rRNA from 1 species